GAUGAACGCUGGCGGCGUGCUUAACACAUGCAAGUCGAACGGAAAGGCCCAAGCUUGCUUGGGUACUCGAGUGGCGAACGGGUGAGUAACACGUGGGUGAUCUGCCCUGCACUUCGGGAUAAGCCUGGGAAACUGGGUCUAAUACCGGAUAGGACCACAUUUUGGAUGGUGUGGUGGAAAGUUUUUCGGUGUGGGAUGAGCUCGCGGCCUAUCAGCUUGUUGGUGGGGUAAUGGCCUACCAAGGCGUCGACGGGUAGCCGGCCUGAGAGGGUGUACGGCCACAUUGGGACUGAGAUACGGCCCAGACUCCUACGGGAGGCAGCAGUGGGGAAGAUUGGACAAUGGGCGCAAGCCUGAUGCAGCGACGCCGCGUGGGGGAUGACGGCCUUCGGGUUGUAAACUCCUUUCGCUAGGGACGAAGCGUUAUGUGACGGUACCUGGAGAAGAAGCACCGGCUAACUACGUG
rnacentral:rRNA from 1 species